GACGAACGCUGGCGGCGUGCUUAACACAUGCAAGUCGAACGGUAAGGCCCUUCGGGGUACACGAGUGGCGAACGGGUGAGUAACACGUGGGCGAUCUGCCCUGCACUUCGGGAUAAGCCUGGGAAACUGGGUCUAAUACCGGAUAGGACCACUGCCUGCAUGGGUGGUGGUGGAAAGCUUUUGCGGUGUGGGAUGGGCCCGCGGCCUAUCCGCUUGCUGGUGGGGUGAUGGCCUACCAAGGCGACGACGGGUAGCCGGCCUGAGAGGGUGCCCGGCGAGGGGGGCCCCGAGCCACGGCCAGGACGCCUGCGGAAGGCGGCAGUGGUGAGUAUUGCAGUAGGGGCGGAAGGCGGAUGCAGCUACGCAGCGUGAGCGAUUCCGGCGUUCGGUUUGUGGGCAACUUUUAGUCGGGAGAAAGCGCAGGUGGCGGUACCUGCAGAAAAAGCACCCGCUAACUGCGUGCAAGCCGCCGCCGUAA
rnacentral:rRNA from 1 species